GUUUGAAGACCUCCGCUCUAGAGAAGUCAGGGUUUUAACAGGGAUAAGAUGGGGAAAUGUAACGUGGCCCUCAAAAUGAAACAUGUUGCAAUUAAUUAUUAUAUUCUUUAAGCUCUUAAACUUUAAAAAUGGGGCUGUCGGCGCAGUGAUUAGCUUUAAUGUAGAUUAUGUUAGUUCAGCGCUAUGCAGCUUUACCCACCUCAGGAGGAUGGAAAGCUGAGUCAACCUUCAGCCUGGUGAGAUUUGAACUGCCAAAUUGCAGGCAGCCAGCAGAAAUAGCCAGUACUGCACUCUAACCACUGCACUACCACGGCUCCUAAUAUCUCCUGAACAAUCAGUUAAUGGAGAUGAAUAAUCUGUAAAGCAAAGGGAUAGAGGUCUACGGAGAUUCUCAGUCAUCCAGGUCAUGAUUGUCUCAAAGGAACAUCCAUUCUUUCAUUCAAACCAAACAGUAGGCUGCAAAGUGCAAUUUCAGAUCAGGCCAUCCCAGUUCUCCUCGCUCUUUUGCAUCCUGAAAGGACACCACUGGGUCACCUCUGCUGUUUCCUCUCAUAACCCUCAGACAUAUUCCAGAGAAGAAGUUAAAUAUACGUAUCUUCCCAUCAGCACAGCCACUGAUGACUCUGAGAUAAACAAAGGCCAGCG